rnacentral:rRNA from 1 species
GAUUUCUGGUGUGGUGCGCUGAGCCCGCUUCCUUUCGGGGGAGUGAGUGCUUUUAUUUGUGCGCCUACCAUCUUUGUCGAUCAAAGGUUUGGUGAGGUGGAGACGAAAGUUUCCCCUUACCAUAACCUCGACAUCAUUUACUUUGAAAAAAUUAGAGUGUUUAAAGCAGGCAGUAACCGCUAUGAAUACAUUAGCAUGGAAUAAUAAGAUAGGACUUUGGUUCUAUUUUGUUGGUUUCUAGGACUGAAGUAAUGAUUGAUAGGGACAGUUGGGGGUGCUAGUAUUUAACGGCCAGAGGUGAAAUUCUUGGAUUCGUUAAAGACUAACUUAUGCGAAAGCAUU